rnacentral:rRNA from 1 species
GACAGAGGGUGCAAACGUUGUUCGGAAUUACUGGGCGUAAAGCGAGUGUAGGCGGUUUGGUAAGUCGGAUGUGAAAGUCCCGGGCUCAACCCGGGAAGUGCACUCGAUACUGCCAAGCUAGAGUAUCGGAGAGGUUGGUGGAAUUCUCGGUGUAGAGGUGAAAUUCGUAGAUAUCGAGAGGAACACCGGUGGCGAAGGCGGCCAACUGGACGAAUACUGACGCUGAGACUCGAAAGCGUGGGGAGCAAACAGG